UCAAGACACUUUGUCAAAAUGGCGAGUGAAGUCACUUAUGCAGAUAUACAGAUACCAUCAGAAGAAAGAGUGUGUUUUACUUCACGAACUUUGGAUCCAGGAGAGAGGAGCACCUAUGCUAAGGUGAAAGUGCACUGGAAAUCUGACAGCACAUCAGAGGCUAUCCCUUCAGGUCCCACCUCUCAAUGCUCAGGCUGGUUGUACAUUAUUGCAGUCCUUGGGAUUAUUACACUGAUUCUGCUAGUUACUGUGAUCCUCUUAGCUCUGCGCUGUGUAAACACGUGAUGGUAAGUCCUGCAGACCAAUUGACACAGAGUAAGUCACUUUUAUCCAAUAAUUUGUUUUCAUGAAAAUAUGCUCAGACAUCAGACCAGGAUGUGAAGGACCCCCUUCAGCUACAUCCCUGUCACCAUUCACUUAUCCAGCCAAUUCACAGCUGCACUCAGAUAAUAUCUAGCUUCCCCUGCUGGUUUUGAGUAUAAUGGACCAUUUUAUUAGGGUU